rnacentral:sRNA from 1 species
GUCGGGAAACAGCUAGGAUCCAGA